UUAGUGCAAUGAAUUUAAGCUUCAUAUAUAAAUAAAAUUAUUUUUCUAGAA
rnacentral:tRNA from 1 species